GCUGGGCGCAGUGACGGGCACCUGUAAUCCCAGCUACUUGGGAGGCUGAGGCAGGAGAAUAGCUUGAACCCAGGAGGUAGAGGUUGCAGUGAGCUGAGAUUGUGCCACUGCAGUCUAGCCUGGGCGACAGAGCAAGACUCUGUCUCAA
rnacentral:SRP_RNA from 1 species